AUUGAACGCUGGCGGCAGGCCUAACACACGCAAGUCGAGCGGAUGAAGGGAGCUUGCUCCUGGAUUCAGCGGCGGACGGGUGAGUAAUGCCUAGGAAUCUGCCUGGUAGUGGGGGAUAACGUCCGGAAACGGGCGCUAAUACCGCAUAUGUCCUGAGGGAGAAAGUGGGGGAUCUUCGGACCUCACGCUAUCAGAUGAGCCUAGGUCGGAUUAGCUAGUUGGUGGGGUAAAGGCCUACCAGGGCGACGAUCCGUAACUGGUCUGAGAGGAUGAUCAGUCACACUGGAACUGAGACACGGUCCAGACUCCUACGGGAGGCAGCAGUGGGGAAUAUUGGACAAUGGGCGAAAGCCUGAUCCAGCCAUGCCGCGUGUGUGAAGAAGGUCUUCGGAUUGUAAAGCACUUUAAGUUGGGAGGAAGGGCAGUAAGUUAAUACCUUGCUGUUUUGACGUUACCAACAGAAUAAGCACCGGCUAACUUCGUG
rnacentral:rRNA from 1 species